GCCCCGGGCCCUGCCCGGCCUCCAUGGCCGCCCUGACCCGGAACUGCGCGCGGCGCCGCUGGGGCGCACUGCGCAUGCGCAGAGCGGUGAGUCCCGGUGAGGGCGACCCUUCCCGGCUCGGUUGUUUUAGCACAGGGAUAACACGGGCAUGGCACUGCUCGACUUGGCGACAGGCUCAUUGGUCUUGAUAGAGGUACUUUGCAAAACAAAGUAACUGGUGAAUACUCAGAACUCUUGAAGCCAGAGCUCAAAGAAUAAGUAAGUGGUUUCUGCAAGUUGAUGUACAUAUCUGCCUUAAGGAUGUGCAGCCCAUGGACAUAAGUAGUUUAGCACGAAGGGACUUUUUACUCCAAAAAACCUAGAAUUGUACAAAGUGUGUAGCAGAACUUUGAACUUCUCCUACCAGAAACUACACCAACUGUUGUGCUGGUGCAUUUGUUGUUUGUAAAAAGCAUACUUUUCACUCAAUUCUGGUUUUGUUGGAUAUGCUUAUUAUAAUACGGUACUUGCAUGACAGGGUUACGUUUAACAGUGGGAAAAUGGUGACUUAGGAGUCCUUCUACUGCUGUUCUGCAGAUCUUGUGUUAUUUUAUCAUGCUCGACAUGUAUUUAUUUUUCCUUCUUCCUCCCCUUUUUUUUCUUUUCAAGCCUGGAAGCUUUGAGGCAUUCAACAGAAAAUAUAGUUACUUUUUAACUACUUAAAAUGUUAAUGUUGGUACUGUUUCUAUUAACAUUGUCUCCCAAAUCUUUGGAUUGUUUAGAAAUACAUUGUUACAUCC